GGUAAAAUGGCUGAUUUAAAGCGUUAGAUUGUAAAUCUAUUUAUGAAGGUUUUCUUCUUUUACCA
rnacentral:tRNA from 1 species